rnacentral:rRNA from 1 species
CGGCAACAGCUCAAAUUUGAAAUCUGGCCCCUUUGGGGUCCGAGUUGUAAUUUGGAGAGGAUGCUUCGGGCGCGGGGGCCGGCCUAAGUCCGUUGGAACACGGCGUCAGAGAGGGUGAGAAUCCCGUCCGCGGCCGGCGCCCAACCCCAACCGUAGCUCCUUCGAC